UCUUUAAGGUGGUUCGACUAGGUUACCCAAAGCUUAAACCUCUCUAGAUGGCGGCACAAUUGCAAAUUUUGAGUUUUAAUUUUUUUGUGGAGUAGUCUUGGUAUUUCUAUACUGUAAAUUAUGUUUAGCGCACUCUUUAAAUAAAUAUUGAACUAUUACAACAAACAUUGAACACUUCAUUGUACAAAAACUACCCCUUAAUGUCGACAGAAUGUUUCUUGACUCUAUUUCUAAGUAUCACUCACACAUUCAAACAGUCUUACUGGGAUCCUUGUAGUAGACAAUUUGGCACAGCGUGAGUAGGCUUCAAUAGCGUUGCGGUAUGUACGUGGAAAUACAUGCAAGAGGAUGUGGGUUCGAGACUCAUUAAUUUUUUUUUGUUAUCAGUAUUAUCAAGUAAGUACCUAUUAUUAAUAAAUUAUUUUAUGAGAAAUAUGAGCGUUUUCCAUAAAAAUAUUAAAAAUCUGACUCUCACACAUCAUGAUAUUUUUGGGUUCUUCCAACUCAGAAUUACUAGCAUAAUCAAUCCUCGUGCUAAAAAAACCCGAAAAUUUGUAUUGAAAUUUUAGUUUUACAUUGAAAUUUCUUUCACACUAAAAUGUGACGUAAUGGUAUGGAUAUUUUAGGAUAUCUUUUUUUAAUGCUAGGGUGGAGAAGAUUGUGUUGUUGAUGAAGAAAGUCCAAAUUUGUAAGUCAGAUUUUCCGGUAUUUUUUUAAAAAAAAAACGCUGUUUUGUUCUAAAAUUAAAGCAAUCCCUUACUGCCCAGCCUUUAAAAAAGUAGGUACUAUUUUACAGUAGAAUUAAAAUAUUUUUUUACGAUACAUUUAAUUAAAUUACAGUGAAUUACAAAAUUGCAUGGCCUUCUAUUUAUAACCAUUAUAAAAAGAAAUGAGAUAUUUACCAUGUUUGUUUAUAUUAUUGAUUUCCCGAUAUUUUGACACAACUAGAAGUUUCACACAAUGCCUAGAGAUAGAAAAUUAUUGAUUUAUUUUAUUUAUUGUCAAUUUCAUUCAACGGAUCACAUCAUAUCCAAUUUAUGUGUUUAUGUAUUGCAUUGUUUUCUACCUAGUUGGUUAUUAAAUUCUGUUACUGCAAUAAUCUUUCUCUACAUAAAAUAUACCAACGAAAGUUUAAUAAAGUAUAUAUUAAAAUGAAGUACACAAAAUCAGGAAUUACAUAUGACAAUAUCAUUCAAAAUCGCCUCCUCUGGCUUUGACACAGGCCCUCAAACGGCGAGGCCAGUCAUCAAUAGCGGCACGCACGAUUGUCAUGUCUAAUUCCGUCACUGUCUUAACUAUGGCCCGCUUGAGUGAGUUAAGAUUUGUGUGGGGUUUAGCACAGGCUUUCUCCUCAAUAACCUGCUAUAUGGCAUAAUCCAGGGGGUUAAGGUCCGGGCUGGAGUACGGCCAGUCUUCGUGGGCAAUAAAGUCAAUUUUAUUCCUUCGAAACCAGGCUUGAGUUGUUUUUGCCUUAUGUGCAGGAGCUGAGUCCUGUUCAAAGAUCCAUGGCUGGUUUUGUAAUAGGGUGUGGCUUAAGGGCUUCACUAUUGGUUCGAGAACGGUUUCCAGUUUCCGGUUUUCACACCUUUUUCACAGAAAUGAAUCUGUGUUAGCCCUGAGUAUGACACACCCAAAAUCAUGUUUGGCGGGUGCCCACAUUUGUGCAACGCAAUAGGGUUGUUUCCAUCUACAAAUCUUAGGGCAUAAUUGUAUCCCAAUAAAUUCUUUUGGAUUAUAAGAACAUGUUAAACUACUUUUAGGGGACCUGUAAUGACCAUAUUUUUGUAAAUAUUGAAUUUAAAAUAUCUUUUGGCACACGUCAAGUGACCAAACUCGAAACGUCAUUGAAGAUUCUGUGACGUCACACAAUUUUCAAAGAGCGUUUUGGGCGCGAAAGCAUCUGUCAAAAUAUAUUUUGGUAAUUUAACACAUUUAAAGCCGUUUUUAGUAUAAAAGCUGAAUUUUAAGGCAACUUUUAGUUAAUAUAGAAAGUAAUACAAGCGUUUCAAAAAAUUGGAAUACGAUUCUAUUUUAGGCCCCAAUUCAUUAUAGAUACGACGAGAUAAGCAUUAUGUGUGGUAUAUAAUUAUAGCUCACAAAUCCACCACAUUAUGCCAUUUUUUAUUUUUUCGGUAGCAUUUGUUUUAACGGGAAUAAAGAGGUUGCAAAUCGAGUAACAGAACUUCAGAACAGAUAUCAUUUGAUAUUUACCAGUCGCUUUUCGGUGAAGGAAAACAUCGUGAGGAAACUGGACUAAUCCCAACAAGGCUUAGUUUUACCCUCUGGGUUGGAAGGUCAGAUGGCAGUGGCUUUCGUAAAAACUAGUGCCUACGCCAAAUCUUGGGAUUAGUUGUCAAAGCGGACCCCAAGCUCCAUUGAGCCGUGGCAAUAUGCUGGGACAACGCUAGGAAGAAAGAAAAAAAUCGAGUAACAGAACUUAGUAACCAACUAGGUGUAAUAGUUAUGAUGUAAAUGUCCAUAUCAUGUUGGAGUCAUAUAUGUAUUAGCCAACUAAUUAUUCAAGAUCAAUACACUUAGCUCCCUUAGGUAUUCGCCUAAGUACAAUCUCAGGCAAAAUUGAGUUUUAUAAAAGUGAACUAGUUUCUAGGUCAUAUUUUCUAUGAAUUGGUCGCUUUUCGGUGAAGGAAAACAUCGUGAGGAAACCGGACUAAUCCUAACAAGGCCUAGUUUACCCUCUGGGUUGGAAGGUCAGAUGGCAGUCGCUUUCGUAAAAACUAGUGCCUACGCCAAAUCUUGGGAUUAGUUGUCAAGCGGACCCCAGGCUCCCAUGAGCCGUGGCAAAAUGCCGGGACAACGCGAGGAAGAAGAUUUUCUAUGAAUUGGUCAUUUUUGUAGACUCCAAUUACAGUUACACUUUUCCUGGUUUUUCGCGGACCAGAAUAUCGAUGAUUUUUGUAACUUGAUUUAGACGUUGCUAUCAUUUUCAAUCCAAAAACACAUAAAAUCACAAUUCAGAACAUGCGGCAGCGUUGUUUUCUAUGAAGUACCUCAAGCACCAGGGCGGCUACCGGGAAAAUCGAAAUUCGUCAAUUUCGGGCAUUUUUCUCUGUCACUCUAAUUACGUCUUAGUGAGAGUAAAAGAGAAAGAUCCCCGCAAUUUGCGAAUUUCGGUUUUCGCGGUAGGCCCCCAGGUCCUGUCAAGUUUCAGCAGUGUUGCCAGGUGAGCGGAAGAGAAUUAUCGUACUUGAGUGUCAAUAUUAUUGUACCGUUGAAAAAAAUAUCGUACGCCAAUCAAAAAGGCAGGCCCUAAAAAUGUCUAGCAAAAUAAGCUUAAAUUUCCAAUUAAUAAUAAAAAAAAGACAAUUUUCGUCUAAAUUGCGCAAAAAAUCUGUUUAUGUUUGUGUAUUUUUGGGAUAGACUCAAACGGUAUACAGGAAAUUGUGACCAUUUUAACUUACACCAAGGAGCCGAACACCCAAAAGAUACUAAUUUUAGCCUAUAUCUGAGAGAAAGUGUCAUAUUUUGCUUCAAAUUACUAGACUUUUAAGGUGGCAUCAUCCAAGGGCUGAAAUUAUAGUACUUUAGUGUACGAUAAUGCUCUUUGGAACAUUACGUCAUACCGGGGCCCAAAUAACCCAAAUUAUCGUACAUGUACGACAAUUAUCGUACGCCUGGUCACACUGAGUGUCAGUGUCGACAGAGUCAGCUAAAAAACUAAAAACGCGUCAAACAUCGCAACGUCGCGCCGAUGGCCGUCCGAAGCAUGGAGUGGCAACGCCGCAAUGUAUUUGUACACGACAUUUGUCACACACACAUGAGUAAAAUUUAUAAAAAUAUAACGUUGAUUAUUGCAUGAUUUCUGUAUGAAACAAAGUUUUUCUAUUAAUUUAGCGCAAAUGAAUAUUCGAAAGUAGAUAGAUGCGGAACUAUUUAUGUAAUAAUAUUGUGUAAUUAAUUAAUAAAUAGCGAUUGUUUUUUGUAUGAAAAUCGAACCACCUUAACAGGAAAUGUUUUUGGAAAAGAAAUUAUUAAAAAAAAAACUAUUAUAGGAGAACACUAGAUUCGCUUUUGGAUACAAACUUAAUACAUAAUUGUAAGUCUCUCUGUACCAGAUUCGCUUUUGGACAAUAAUGCAAGAGGCCUAAGUCUUUUUGUGCCAGAUUCGCAUUUGGACAAAAACUCAUUAGGCCUAAGUCUCAGUGCGACUAUUUCUCGGUUGGUCUAGGCAUAACGCGAAUUAGUCAGACUACGUUUUAGGCAGACCCGGACAAAAGGGCGCCAAUACCGAACAGAGUCGGCUCGUGAGGUAUCUCAUUGUUUGUAAGCAAGUAAAAAAAAAUCAAAUAUAGUAUUUUUUGCAUAUUUUAAAAUAAAAUGGUAGAAGCUUAUUUAUUUAAACCUUAUUGCCAGAAAACAGGCGUGACUCGCCCCGCGAUUUUGUCGCGUCGCUACAAGUAGGUACAUGCGGUCCACGUCCAGAGUCCAGACCAAUUUUGGUGCUCUAGCAGUGGUAGCCGCGUACCGCUACGAAACGGAUAAUUUUUGAUACAUUUUUAUAUAGGCAAAUUUGAUGGAUUUUGUAUUAGGUAAAUUACAUAUGUUAUUGACAAAUCCUGCAGUAAUGCAGUCGACCGCAGCAGUAUUGCGGCACGACAAUACUGCCGACUGCUUUACUGCCAGAAAAGUUUUAGCUAUACUACAAUCACACUAAAAUUUUGAGGGUUUAAUGUAAUAAUGGAACCCUAAAAAGCUUUUGUUACAAAAUUAUAAAUCUACACACUUCCAAAUUAUUGAUAACCAAGUUCAAUUCAAAUAUGUUGUCAAAAUACCGCUAUACUAAAAUACUGUCUACGUGUGUGCGUUCCUGAGCGUAAGACACGAGCGUCGCAUGCAGCACGCAAACGUCGAUCGUGUUUCGGCUUCACUUUUGGCAGAUUAGCUGUACAGGGACUAUCGGUCUCUUAAUACACAGAGAUUGUAUUACUCUUGUCACUUAUGUCAGUAAAUAUAGCUAUUUAAAAAAAACCUAAGUAAGAUCCAACUUCAAUGGAACACGAAAAUUAUGUUAACUUUGCCACUAAAAUUACAGGGUUACCAAAUACUACAGUCAGGGACGUUACACGCCAAGGAAAAUUACUAAUCAAUUCGAGGUUGGGGGGCAGCGCGGACCAUGGGAGUGGAAUAUCACGAACGAAUUGUCAAGCUAUAGCUUCUCCUCGCAACUGCGUCUGUGUGAGUGAUGAUGCAAAACUAUCUUAAGUCCUUCCAUAUCAAAUAAUGUUUACUUAAGUAUACAUUUAUACUUA